CCCUUAGAUGUUCUGGGCCGCACGCGCGCUACACUGUUGGAUUCAGCGAGUCUUAUCCUUAACCGAAAGGUUUGGGUAAUCUUUUGAAAGUCCAACGUGAUGGGGAUUGAUCAUUGCAAUUAUUGAUCAUAAACGAGGAAUUCCUAGUAAGCGCGAGUCAUCAGCUCGCGUUGAUUACGUCCCUGCCCUUUGUACACACCGCCCGUCGCUACUACCGAUUGAAUGGUUUAGUGAGAACUUCUGAUUGGCACCAUCGUGGCCUGAAUGGGCUGUGACGGAUUGUCGAAAAGUUGUUCAAACUUGAUCAUUUAGAGGAAGUAAAAGUCGUAACA
rnacentral:rRNA from 1 species